GACCAGCCCUCUCCCAGUUGCUGCAGGCUCCAAGAAGAUGAGUGAUGGUCUUUGGAGGCAUCGGAUCAUACCUGGGGAACCUGCCCCAGUGCCUGUCACCGAGGAGCACCUGACCCAGGCCCAGCCGCCGAUCCUACUGUGAGAAAGGGGAGUCCUCUGUCAUCUGGUCCCGCUGAUGUCGUCUGCAGCCCAGACCAUAAACCAAGGACCGUGGAAGUUCAAGUGAACGAAUCAGCUCCCAUGAGACAGCUGGAAGAAGUAAGGAUCUGUUAGUUCACUUGGAGUGGCCCUACGCCCGGCGGAAGGAGUUCCAGGGCACUUAGCCCAGGCCAGGUGAGCUUCAGCGACACCACGUGGGAGCUGGGCAUUCACAAGGGGCAUUUCCGUUACACCGGGUGAGCACGUGGUGGCCACAAUGCCCCACCUGGAGGGCUCAGCCUCCACCAUCGGUGUGACAACCUCUUCAUAAACAGUCCCUUCCACGUCCUGGAGAGCCUUGUGGCUUGAUUUCAUCUCCCCUCUGACACAGCAGCACUGAAUUAAGAAUUUCUGCUGAAGGGAAACUGUCAACGGUAGGGGCCAGAGUAUGUCCUUUUCGGACAGCCUUCCCGGAUCCAUCUUGGCAGCCCUCUUUGUUGCCAGACUCAGGUUCGGCUGCUCAUUGCUCAAGAAUCCAACACUGAGAGACAAGUGCUGGGUAGAAGGAAAGACAGCUUUACUGGGGAAGCUGGGGAGAAGGUGGACUCAUGUCCCCAAGAACCAGCUCCUCCCUCCCCAGGUUUUGCUCAGAGAUUUUAUAGGGAAAAGAGGAAGGGGCUACGUGCUGGGAAGGGGUUGUGGGGUGUGUAUCAGCUCGUGCACGCUCUUCUGAUUGGCUGGUGGUGAGCUAACCGAGAGUCAGUGUCAUCAGCCUUCUGGUUCCAGCCAGUCAGGGUCUCCACGCCGGUGGUCAGCGUGCAGGUAACUUCUUCCACCUGCUGGGGUUUCAGUCUCUGCAAAACAGCUCAAA